GCAUACAGAUAGCUCAACUGGUACAGCACAAGACCCCUUAAUCUCAGUGUCGUGGGUUCGAGCCCCACGUUGGGCA